rnacentral:rRNA from 1 species
AACGAACGCUGGCGGCAUGCCUAACACAUGCAAGUCGAACGAGAUCUUCGGGUCUAGUGGCGCACGGGUGCGUAACGCGUGGGAAUCUGCCCUUUGGUUCGGAAUAACAGUUGGAGACGACUGCUAAUACCGGAUGAUGACGAAAGUCCAAAGAUUUAUCGCCAGAGGAUGAGCCCGCGUAGGAUUAGCUAGUUGGUGUGGUAAAGGCGCACCAAGGCGACGAUCCUUAGCUGGUCUGAGAGGAUGAUCAGCCACACUGGGACUGAGACACGGCCCAGACUCCUACGGGAGGCAGCAGUGGGGAAUAUUGGACAAUGGGCGAAAGCCUGAUCCAGCAAUGCCGCGUGAGUGAUGAAGGCCUUAGGGUUGUAAAGCUCUUUUACCCGGGAUGAUAAUGACAGCACCGGGAGAAUAAGCUCCGGCUAACUCCGUGCCAGCCGCCGCGGUAA